GGGGGUAUAGCUCAGGGGUAGAGCAUUUGAGUGUAGAUCAAGAGGUCCCUGGUUCAAAUCCAGGUACCCCAUACCA
rnacentral:tRNA from 1 species